CUUCAGUAACAACCACCUGAAAAAAGGGAUAGAGCCUGAGAGAUCAAAGAUACGUUUCUGUUCUGACGAUCUCGAUUCCAUCUUCUAACCAGGGACUUUUGGAGAGGCUAGCGCAAAAUGUUUGGAAUUGUGAGGCAAAAGGCAACCUGCGGACGCAAUUGUGCUUCGAAAUUGGUUCGAAGAAUUCCGGAGAUUGCGUUGAGAGCAUCGUCUUCAUCUGCUCGGGAGAUGACUGUUCGUGAUGCUUUGAAUUCAGCAAUGGAUGAAGAAUUGUCUGCUGAUCCUAAUGUUUUCAUAAUGGGUGAAGAGGUAUCUUGGAAG